GACGAACGCUGGCGGCGUGCUUAACACAUGCAAGUCGAGCGGUAAGGCCCUGCUUGUGUGGGGUGCUCGAGUGGCGAACGGGUGAGUAACACGUGAGUAACCUGCCCUUGACUUUGGGAUAACUUCAGGAAACUGGGGCUAAUACCGGAUAGGAGCUCCUGCUGCAUGGUGGGGGUUGGAAAGUUUCGGCGGUUGGGGAUGGACUCGCGGCUUAUCAGCUUGUUGGUGGGGUAGUGGCCUACCAAGGCUUUGACGGGUAGCCGGCCUGAGAGGGUGACCGGCCACAUUGGGACUGAGAUACGGCCCAGACUCCUACGGGAGGCAGCAGUGGGGAAUAUUGCACAAUGGGCGGAAGCCUGAUGCAGCAACGCCGCGUGCGGGAUGACGGCCUUCGGGUUGUAAACCGCUUUCGCCUGUGACGAAGCGUGAGUGACGGUAAUGGGUAAAGAAGCACCGGCUAACUACGUG
rnacentral:rRNA from 1 species